GGUUUUACCAUCUGCUUCUGGUUGAAGACGACACACAGUGGCUUUUUCAUCGAAUACGAAGUCGCCGCAUCUAGGGAACAAAAUGCAACCUUGGUACUGGGGCUUUACUUUCAUAACCACAGUUUUGAUAUUCAAUUUGGCAGCAUAAGAAGCAAUAUCCCAAUGAGCGUGACAGAUGACAUGUGGCACCACACGUGCGUGGUAUGGGAUGGUAAGAGCGGGCUCUUGGCGGUCUUCAAAGAUGGCGAAAGAAAACAUCAAUCAACUAGGUUUCGUGCAGGUUCACUUGAUCUGAAAAUUGAAGGCAUAGGAACUAUGACAAUAGGCUUCAGAGCAACAAACAAAACUGAGUCCGUUGGAGCAUUGAGUGGUUUUAAUGUGUGGUCGUAUGCAGUGAUCGCAGAGGAGAUACUGCGCAUGUCAUACGGAUGUGGGGAUGAGACAGGAAACGCAAAGGCGUGGCAUACAGUUAAACAUGGAUUGAAGAAUAGAGUUGCGUUGGAAAGGUUUCGAACUUGUAACGAUAGAAAAGGCGAGUAAUCCACAAAGUUGAGUACAGUCAACCCUAAAUAACUCGAACCUUCAAGGCAAAUUAAAAAAAGGGUUCUAGUACGUUAUCGGGAGGUGGGAACAAAUGACCGGAGAUAGGGAAAAAACGGUGUUUACUAUAUUUCUAUUAUUGUACAUUUUAAUCAAAUUCAAUAAUAGAGAGGUCGAGUGAAAAUAGAAAAAUACUUCUCUUAAUUACUGUGUAAAUCAGGACAUAAUAUAUAGAUUUAGCUAAUCCUAAAAGCGGAGCUCCUGAUUAUAACAAGUAUAACCAUAAGAGAAAAAAUGCUUUUCUUCAAUAAGAAACUAAAAAAAUGAUCAAUUCUUAGCAUGUAAUUGUUCAGCCUUCAACUUUACCAUUUUUUUUCCAGUUAAAAACUUACGAAAGACUUUCCGAGAGACGAAUGUACAAGGAAGUUCUUAGAAGAAAUGUCAAAAAAGCGCCAGGGGUUAAUUUGAGCGGAAAUUUUGCUUUGCACGUACCCCCUCCUUCUCCCUCAGAGUAAUGACCUGACUUGAGCCCGCUAUCCAAUCGACAACCUGUAUCUGGGAAGCGGUCAACUUCAAAACACGUGACCUCGAUUAGCUCUAAACCUGAGCCCGCGAUACG